UACGGAGGGUGCAAACGUUGCUCGGAAUCAUUGGGCGUAAAGCGCACGUAGGCGGCGGCAUAAGCGGAAUGUGAAAGCCCAGGGCUCAACCCUGGAAGUGCAUCCCGAACUGUGUCGCUUGAAUCUCGGAGGGGGACAGAGAAUUCCCGGUGUAGAGGUGAAAUUCGUAGAUAUCGGGAGGAAUACCAGUGGCGAAGGCGCUGUCCUGGACGAAGAUUGACGCUGAGGUGCGAAAGCGCGGGGAGCAAACAGG
rnacentral:rRNA from 1 species